GCACCCCAACUGUGACCCCAGUGCACCACCACAGCCUCCGCGCCCCUCGGCGCGGGCGCUCCCGGUGCCGCCUGGGGGACCCGGCUGAGGGCAGGGUUUGGGGGGGGGACACCCUCCCUAUGGCCCCCCCAGCGCCCACGCCGGCUGGCUCCGGGGCGGGCAGAGCGGGGCUGCAAGCCGCAGCCUGAGCCUGGGCAUGACGGUUCCCAUCCGCGGCGGUGCCGGUGCCCGCAGCGCCGGGUGCCAGCCCGCGGGCGUCGUGCCGGGGGCCGCUCCCCAAAACCCGUGCCGGCGGCCGGCCCCGCGGCGCCGAGGCGAUGAAUGAACGGGGCCCGAGCGUCGAGGCUGGCCUCGCAGCCGGCCCCGGAAAGCUGCCCGCGAGCGAAGGCUGUGCCGAAAUUAUUCCGGCCACGUGCCAAGGGCCGGAUCCUGCCAGGAGAGCCGGCGGCACGCGUGGGCGCGGGGCUGCCCCGGCCGGUGGUGGGCGAGCGGGGGCAGCGGGGGGGUACCCGGGGCUCUCCGCGGGGCGCCGCGAGCCUGGCGGUGCCGAGGCUCCCAGCACGGGGGUGGAAAUGGAAACCAGUUUCUUCCAAUCUCUUAUCGCCCGGCAGCCAUGUGAGGAAAUGAGUUAUAAAGUCCAGAGGCCGCUUCCUACCGCGCUGGGAGCGCCCGUGCCGGGGAUGCGCGGCCCCACGUGGGUGCCCCGAGGGGUGCCCGGGGAGCCCCGGCCUCGCUGCCUGCCCUGCUCAGCCCCAAACCCGCCCUGCUGUCCCCAGGUGGGGGUGCCAGCUGGCCCCAACCCUCCCCUCGCUUGGGCUGGGGGGGCUUCUGCAUCAGCCCCCCCCCCCACCCCGUUACACACAUCCCAGCGCGGGGACGGCGCUGCCUCGGGGUGCGGGGUCCCUCCGUGCCAAGGCUCUCCAAGCCACCCCGAUGCCCCCACGCAUCCCUCCGGGUCCUGCUGGUGCAGAAGGGGUGACACACCGUGGGACCCCAAAUCUAUAGGGUGCUGGGGCUGCAGAAGCCGGGCUGGUAUCACGGUGUCCCCCCCACCCCCCCCACCCCAGCCCUGCACGCAGCGUCCUGUUCCCGGCAGCGCCCCGUGGGCUGCGGGCGCGGAGGCGCAGAUGCAGCCGCGCCGGCUGCCAAGGCGCUGCCAUCUGCCCGGGCAGCGCUGCCAGGCUGGGGGGGGNNNNNNNNNNNNNNNNNNNNNNNNNNNNNNNNNNNNNNNNNNNNNNN
rnacentral:lncRNA from 1 species